AUCUCAUCACAAAUAAAUCUGGUCAAAAGCACUAGGCAUUUCUAUCUGCUGUCUAAGAUGGGUACCAUUGCUCAGCUACUUUCCUAGACAUAAAGCAAGAGAAAAAUUGUGACAACAUUAGAGAAAAGUGAUGGGAAGAUAACUGAAGGACAGAGAAGAGCCUCCAACAGGCUGAAAAGGAAAAAAAAAUCUCUCAGUUUCCGUCUCUCCACUACAGAUGCAGACCUGUGACAGAACAUAUAGAAUGCCCUGCAGGUCCAGGGAGCAGAGUCUCUGAUCUGGCUUGCAAAUGCCAACCCUAGAGAUCCAGCAUCCAGGAAUCCAGGGUAGAGGUUUCAGCUAGCUCAGCAGUGAUGCUCUGAGGCUACUCCAGCCCCGAAGAAGUCAGCACUACUGUCUUUGGACUUGAACUUGGUGGGCCUAAUGCUAUGCAGUAACUGAACUAAGUUGGGAGCCAAAUCUACCCCCCCACCAACCCCCACACUAAGCCUGCAAUAUAUUGAAGAAAAUGUUUGUAUAUUCAUUCUUGCUGUAUCCUCUAAGUAAAUAUACCUUUGUAAAAGCUAAUUUGGGCGGGGGGGGGGCAUCUAGGUGGCGCAGUG